rnacentral:lncRNA from 1 species
AUGGAGGAAGGGAGUAGAGAGAGUCCGGUAAGAAGUACUACACAAAACUCUACUUUGCAGUCAAGUCCAAAUCUCCACUACUUCUUUUAAAAAAAGUCAAUCCAAGGUCAUUUGAUUCCUUUAAGAAGAUACCUUUAACAUAUGAGAUUUAACUCGUAUCUUGGGUGGGGAUGACAGGGACAGAGCCAGGGUAGGAAGAGGAAGGAAACAGGGAUACAAUGUAUAAAUUUCUUUAUGACUAUCACACUCACUUUCAAAGUAGAUGAAGAUUAAAUAAAAUACAAGUGUCUUAUAUUCAUGGUACUGUUCUAAAAACUUGAAAAUGAAAACAAAAUUCCACCAUUUUAAAAACACAGCUGCUUUACUAUAAAAAAAUUUUUUAACUGGAAAAAAGUUCGGAAAACAGAAUUAAUAAUCAACUCAAUUUCUAAGUUACCUAUAUCACAUGGAGAAAUCUUUCUAGCUACAGGGUAAUUUGUGUUAAUAUUUCCACACAAAACAAAGAUUUUGGCAUAGACAGUACAAAUUACCAGGCAUUUCAAAAUCAUUGUGUUUCCCCUUUCUCUUAUUCUGUCUUAAAAAAUAUAUAACAUUUUGUUAAUAACAAUAAACAUACUCCAGGGAAAAACUUCAAGAUGUUUGGUUUGGAGUGGCUUUUAAGGAGUUAAUUUCUAUAUUUAAGAAAUUCCUAAGAGGAAUUUCAGGUUGACUCACUGCAAUCUGUAACAAUGUUUCAAAGUUAAAAAUUUAAUAUUAAAUUUAAGCAAGUCUUAUUUCUAUGCUAUCUACAUCAUGAAGUUACAAAUAAUAUUUUCUUAAUUAAAAAACAGGAAAAACUCUCUUAUAUUCUCAC